UCUAAUACAGAGGCCCAAUAGGCUAAUAUGGGUAUGGGAGAGAGACACGCUCCAGAAUUAGAGAACAAUAAUACUUGCAUAAUGCUAAGAACAUAUACUUCUCAUUUGUACAUUUCAAAAGGAUAAACUCUGGAGCUGGGGAGUAGUUCUGUCGGUAGAGUGCUUGCCUGGCAUGUAAAGAGCUCUAGGUUCACCCCUGAGUACUGCACAAAACAGGUGAGGUGAUGCACUCCAGGAAUCCCAGCACCAGGAGGGAGAAGGAUCAGAAAAUUCAAAGUCAUCCUCAACUACACAGCACAGCUGAAACAAGGGUCCUGCAAUCCCUAGGACUAUACACAACUUCAAUAUCAUCUGGAGGAAAGUCAACCAAAUCCCACAGAGGCCCAGAAUCCACAGACAGCGGGUGCGUGAUGAGGUAAUCUUCCAAAUCCACAGGAUCGACUGCUUCAGUAAGGGGCACCUUAGCAGAGAGGAGUGUGCAAAGGGAGAGGUGAAUGAAGAAUCUGACAACUUUAAGCAAAGAAAGAUAGCAAACAUGAUUUUAGGCUAGUUCUCUGUAAAAUGUUGGCAGACAUGCUGAUCCUAAGAUUCACAGCAUGCAGCCUUAAGCUCCCCAUGCUUUCCUUACACUCGCAUACGGACUCUUCCCAUAAUUCUCACAUUAAAAACAAAACUAGUAGUUAGCAA